CAGGACCACACCCCUUAAAGGAUUCGAAGCAACUGCCAUGUGAUUGGUUGAUUAGAUAAUUGCAUUAAUGAGAAAUUGAACAGGUGUUCCUAAUAAUCCUUUAGGUGAGUGUACAUAACACACACAAGUCCCUUGCUCCCUGAUAGGCGUUUUCAGCUGGCAAAAAAACACUUUGGUGGACAAAAGCACUUAGUGAGACCUAGCCCUAGCAUAAUCCACUUAUAUUGUGCAUCAAUCUGCUCAGUAUGUUUCAGUCACAUUUUAGCCAGGAAUACAGAAACUGUAUUGAUAUUCAAAUGCAUUAUAACCAACAUGAUGACUUGUAUUGUUUUUGUAUUAUUGUCUUGUCUUUAACACUUGUUAAAGCACUGUGUAACUUGUUUUUGAAAAGUGCUCUACAAAUAAAGAUUAUUAUAAUAAAGAGAGAUUAAAGCUGCAAGCAGCGUUGGGCGGGCCCUCACAUGUGGGGAGUGCCAAAAAGGCUGACUUCUUGUUGGGUGUCAGGUAUCGCUCUAACAAGCAGUUUAGGGGGCGCUAGCAGAAAAAGAAUUCCUUCAGUUCCAAUAGGGACCUGGCACAUUGUUGUGCUCAGGCCCUUAAGACAAUCUGUACAGACAGCAAUGCACACCAUUACAGUCUCAUGCAUGGAUUGGCGCAAGAAGUAGAUUGCAAAUAGUUUCACAUGGUUUGUCUCAUUUGAAAGAUACUGUUGCGGUGACAGCCCGGCUGUUGGUGAGUGUCCUGUUUCUCCUUUCCUCCCUCGCAUUCUGGUUUUUCCUGUGCCUCCUCUCUCUCCCUCUGUGUGCUCUCCCCCUCUCUGCUCCGGAGCCCGGCUGGUUACCCACACCUGCUCCUCGUUAACCUCCAUCCCCGACCGCCGCACCUGCCAGCUAUCAACUUCAUCACGACCAGUACUUCUACCACGGCUCUCCACGCCAUCCUCGCUCGAUUGUCGCAGCUCCAGACUUGGUUCACUCACCUCUGCCUCCCCGUUCAGCCAGCCGGGCUUACUCACCAGCCUUUUUUUGGGUCCGUUCUGUCCCCAAUCGUCACAAGAUACUAUGAUUAAAUGAAAAUUCUACACAUA